UAGGGAAUAUUGGACAAUGGGUGAGAGCCUGAUCCAGCCAUGCCGCGUGCAGGAAGAAGGCGUUAUGCGUUGUAAACUGCUUUUUGCCAGGGGAUAAAAAGACCGUGCGCGGUUAAUUGAAGGUACCUGGUGAAUAAGCCACGGCUAACUACGUGCCAGCAGCCGCGGUAAUACGUAGGUGGCAAGCGUUGUCCGGAUUUAUUGGGUUUAAAGGGUGCGUAGGUGGCCCUGUAAGUCAGUGGUGAAAUAUCUCAGCUUAACUGAGAGGGUGCCAUUGAUACUGCAGGGCUUGAGUACAGAUGAGGUAGGCGGAAUUGACGGUGUAGCGGUGAAAUGCAUAGAUAUCGUCAAGAACACCGAUAGCGAAGGCAGCUUACCAAGCUGUAACUGACACUGAGGCACGAAAGUGCGGGGAUCAAACAGGAUUAGAUACCCACGUAGUCCCUGAGCGGGCUGGCAAGGCGCAU
rnacentral:rRNA from 1 species